AAGAAAAUUUUUUUUCUUUUUGUCGAUGGAGGGAAAAGUUUAUAUUCUAAAGACAAAAUUGCGUCUUAAUUGUUGCGGUUCCAAUUUCUUUGGUUUAUUGUUUCAACUAAUUGAUUCUUUUUGUUUUGUCACUUGUUAUAUUUUUAAUUGUGAAUUGAUUUACAUUUAGAUUUGGAUUUAAUUGGAUUAGUUGGUUGAUCAACUGUUAAUUGUGAUUAGAUAAAAGCUACAAGGUUUUCAAUUAGAAUCUCUCUCUCUCUUUCUCUAUAGGAGGUUAAGGUUCAUUGUUUUAAUGUUGAUUUUAUUUUCUAUUCCAACAGGAAACAGAUUGUUUUCUAAUACCUGUUGAUUAAUUGUUGUUUUUUUUCGGUUAAUUAUGGUUAUAAAAGACCAAACCAAGACUCUCCUGGAUCAUCAAGGAAUCAACAAUCCAUCGGACAAAUCACAUUGGAACAUGGAAAAUUCAUCGGAUUCUAACAAAGUGAAAUAUUUAAAUUCUAACAAGGACCUUGUCAAUUUGGAAAAUAUAAACGAGAGAUAAUCAUCUUUGAUUAGAGAUUAUGGAAAACAAUCUCAGGAAACUAUAAAAUUCUAGUUGACACUUUUGUCUUCAUUGUUUGAUUGUUGUCUUGUUGUUUUUGUUACUCUUUCAAUAGAGAAUCGGACUUGCGAUCUUGUGUCAUCAUAAUUAGUAAUUUAAUAAAGAUUUAAUUUCUUUGUUUA